ACAUGGCGGAUUACAGAGGGAGGAAAGGCAUCACCUCCGAACAUAUCGGCCUCGUCAAGACGAAUUGGAGGCGUGUAAUGAUUUGAAACUCAUCCUGAAAUAUCUGUGGACUGUGCUGACCGUGCUGAGAUGAGUGGUUCGGCGAGGCGGACCUUGGAAACACCUACAUGGCCAUCACGACUGAAGUGGUGUUCGCCGACAGGUAAAAUGCAGGUGCAACCUUCACAGACUGACAGAGAUUGAGUGAUAACAGACACUGGAGACCCUCCAAGCGAUGGCUGGUGACCGCCUGCCACCAUCCACAGGCUGUCACACAAGGAGCCCUGGGAGUAACCUUGCUGGAAGCCCCGCGGGCUGCAGUGUGUGGCUGGCGUUAUACAGCCCCCAGCCAUCGCCUGGAGGGCAUCCAGUGUCUGUUAUCACUCACCUUAGGUAGUCUGUGAAGGUCCAGUCAUCACUGGUGCACGUGUAUCUUACCUGUGAUCAACACCGGCAGCCACAGACUCCUGCCCAAGGAACGAACACAGUGAUCGUGAUGACAUUGACAACAACGAGCAAGUCCUCCUAGACCUAGAGUGACCUCAAGCUGGGCCAAACAUGAUGUGGAAGAAGAAAUCAGUUGUCUCCAUCAGUCGGAUUUGUGCCAUGGCAGCUUUCUCCAGCUGUCUGGCAGAGGUCCAGUCCAUGCCAUGGAGAAAUUCAGCCCCCAACAAGGAGAUGGCAUGCCAGAGAUGGAUCCGCAGCUUCUCCUCCAAUCAAUCAAUCCUUGCAAUGCCCUUUCUCUUUUCUCUCCUUCUGUACCACCAUGCUUACACAUAACUGAUCCAAGGUACUUAAACUCGUUAACCUCCUCCAUUUCUUCACCAUUCAAAAUUAUUUGGCAUUCUUUUUCACAUUCAAUGCCCACUCUAUAUGGGCAUACAAACUCUACAACCUCCCUUCUACUCCGCUCACAAACCAUCACUUUACUUUUGUUGACAUUUACUUUCAACUUUCUCCUUUUACAGACACUAUCAAAAACACUGACCAAAUUUUGUAAGUCACUUUCAUUUUCUGCAAUGAGCACCGUGUCAUCAGCAAAUAAGAUUGAAUUCAUCACCCACUUCCUUCCCUCCCUCAGCAUACAUUUUUACUUCAAUUUCCCCAACUUUGCCCUUCAUUUCUCAUAACACCAUCCAUAUAAAUAUUGAACAACCACGAUGACAUGACACACCCCUGCCUUAGCCCACUUUCAUCUCAAAAUGUUCACUUGUUUCUCCAGUAAUUUUGACACAUGCAGAUGCAUCCUCAUAGAAAGACUUUAUUGCAUAAAGCAGUUUUCCUCCCACACCAUAUAUCUUUAAGACGUCCCACAAUGCCAGCCAAUCGACUCUGUCAUAAACUUUCUUUAGAAUAACUAGAUCCAUGAAGGCAGCAUAGUAUUUUUUCCUUUUGCUAAUAUUUUUUCUAAUAAAACACCAUCCUGAAGGAAAAUAUCUGAUCCACACAUCCUCUUCCCUUCCUGAAGUCUCCUUGUUCUUCACUGAUUUUCUCUUCUGUAAGUCUUUGCGCAGUCUCAAUUAGGACUUUUCCAUAUACCUUUCCAGGUAGCCUACACUCAGCAGACUUAUACCCCUACAACUCCCACCUCCCCUCUCCUGCCCUUCCCCUUGUAAACUGGGACCAUGAUGGCUUUUGUCAAGUCUGCUGGGACCUCCCCCCCCCUUCCCAGGCCACUUCACAUAUCUUGACCAUUCAUAUAGUAACUUCAUCUCCACACUUCAACAUUUCUGCUGUGAUUCCUCUCAAUUCAUUCAUCAUCAUCAUCUCAUCGACGCCUGCUCUUAGGAGCUCCCACCAGGGGAUGGCCACGGCAGAAGUUUCCAUCUUUCUCUAUCCGGACACUCCCUCCUUGCCUGCUCAAAGUUUCUCAAGGAUCUCUCAUCCUUCUCCCUAAUGUACUCCUGCACCCUAUCUCUCCAUUUCACUGGAGGUCGUCCUCUAACAUUCCCUCCCUCAAUCUCACAUACACCCUUCUGGUCAUCUUACUCUCCUCCAUUCGCUCCAUGUGGCCAAACCACUUUAAAGUCACUUAUUCCCUUCACCCCCGUGACACAUUCCAAAACGCUCAUACACACUUUCAUUACUUAUUCCAUCCAUUCUACUCACACCACAAGCACUCCUCAACUAACUCAUUUCCACUACCUGUACUCUAGACCUCUGACUUUCAUUCAAGGCCCAUGUUUCACUUGCAUAUGUGAGGGUUGGUACUAUUAUUGUAUUUUCAACUGAUAACUGAUCCAAGGUACUUAAACUCAUUGACCUCCUCUAUUUCUUCACCAUUCAGAAUUAUUUUGCAUUCUUUUUCACACUCAGUUCCCACUCUAUAUGGGCAUACAAAAUCUACAACCUCACUUCUACUCCCCUCACAAACCAUCACUUUACUUUUGUUGACAUUUACUUUCAGCUUUCUCCUUUUACAGACGCUAUGAAAAUCACUGACCAAGUUUUGUAAGUCACUUUCAUUUUCUGCAAUGAGCACUGUGUCAUCAGUAAACAGGAUUGAAUUCAGCACCCACUGCCUUCCCUCAGCAUACAUUUUUACUCCAACUUUGCCCUUUAUUUCUCCCAUGACACCAUCCAUAUAAAUAUUGAACAACCAUGGUGACAUGACACGCCCCUGCCUUAAUCCCACCUUUAUCUCAAAAUGUUCACUUGUUUCUCCACCAAUUUUGACACAUGCAGAUGCAUCCUCAUAGAAAGACUUUAUUGCACUAAGCAGUUUUCCUCCCACACCAUAAAUCUUUAAAACAUCCCACAAUGCAAUCCAAUCGACUCUGUCAUAAGCUUUUUCUAAGUCCAUGAAGGCAGCGUAUAGUUUCUUUCCUUUUGCUAUUAUUUUUUUUACUACCAUCCUGAAGGAAAAUAUCUGAUUGAUUCCAUCAGUUCCUGCUGCCUUUCCAUUUUUUAAUCUUUUUAUUGCCUGAUUUACUUCUUCAUGUGUUAUACUUCUUUCUUUAUAUACUCCUCCUCUACCUCCGCUCAAAACUGUUGCUGUAACAGCUGCUGGACGUCCAUCAUCAAAAUUCAUUAAGUUUUUUUAAAUAUUCUCUCCAUCUCUCUUUCACAGCUUCCCCGUCUUUCAACAUCUUUCCAUUCUCAUCCAUAACUUCAUUAAUUUUCCUUGGGGAGAUAUUAUUGGGGUGAUGCUUUUCUUUCGUUUUUUACUUCUUUCCAAUAUGAUUUCCUGUUCCCUUUAUAUUUUUCACUUAGUCUUUUCCAAAGUCUUCACCAACUCUCUUCUUACUUUCUUUUAUUGCUUGUUUUAAUUUCAUUUUGCAUUCUCUAUAUUUCUUUUUCCUUUCCCUUUUUACUUGCUCAACCACAUUUCUUUCUUAAGUUUUCUUUAAAAAGUUCCCUUUUCUCUUUUACUAUCCUCCUUAUCUCUUCUGUCCACCAUGAAUUUCCUUUUCUUUUUCCAUCUCUCACCACUUUCAUGCCUAACACUUUUUUGUUGUAGUUAACACUACUUCUUUAAAUGUUCUAAAAACUUUUUCAGUAUCUGUACUAUCUUUCACACUUUCCCAUUUUUCACUUAAGGCAUCUACCAUUUCACGUUAUACUCAUCUUUUAUUUCUUUUUUCCUGUAACUUUUCUAUCUUCAGUAUUUCCUUUUUUACUUCACCUUUCUUUUCAAACACCCACUUUUGCAAGAUGGUCAGAGCCAUCAAACAUCCCGCUUACUACCUUCGCGUCACAGAUGUCCUUUCUCAGUCUUCCAUCUACUGCCACAUAAUCAAUCAAUCCUUUCUGCUCAUAAUCAUUCCCCCUCCUCCAUGUGUAUAUGUGGAUAUAGGCAAAAGUAAUAAAGCCCCACACAUCAGAAGUUGUAUUGCUUUGCCUAGGUUAUGCAGAUGAUGUAGUAUUAGUGGAAGGAUUUUGCCUGAUCCUAAAUGACUUUGGUAUGGAAUGGAAACUUAUCUUUAAACAUAAUAAUGGAAAUUCACACCAGCAGUAGGACAGCGGGUGCUGGGAAACAAUAUCUUAGAGGUAAUAGAAACACAUGGUUAUUUAGCAUUUGAGAUAAGCAAGGAGGCCAUAGGAGAAAGCACAAAGAAAACUGAAUGAAGCCAAGGUAAGGAAAAUGACGGGUGUUAACAUCAGUGGUAGAGAAGGGAAAUUAGCCAGUAUGAAUAUGGAAGUUGCCUUUGGAUGGGGAAGGUAGUAACCCCACAGCUAUCUUGUAUGGGUCAGCAGGACUAACACUGAAGAUGUCGGGAGAUUAGAAGUCAUUCAAGACCAGUU